UGCCAGCAGCCGCGGUAAUACGAAGGGUGCUAGCGUUGUUCGGAAUUACUGGGCGUAAAGCGCGCGUAGGCGGCGCUGUAAGCCAGGGGUGAAAGCCCGGAGCUCAACUCCGGAAUUGCCUUUGGAACUACAGUGCUAGAGUAUUGGAGGGGAGUGUGGAAUUCCUAAUGUAGGGGUGAAAUCCGUAGAUAUUAGGAGGAACACCGGUGGCGAAGGCGACACUCUGGACAAUUACUGACGCUGAGGUGCGAAAGCGUGGGGAGCAAACAGGAUUAGAUA
rnacentral:rRNA from 1 species